AUGCCUGUAUCAGUGUCCGUACAUCAAACUUGGUUUUCUUCCUUCCGUGUAGUCGGUGGUGGAUGUGCCAGAUGUGAAGUGUCUUGCGGCUGGUCUUCGGAUCGGCUGUGA
rnacentral:rRNA from 1 species